AAAAACAUAUCUCGACAUAAUCGAAAGAGAAGAGUCUAGGGUUGCGAAGGAAAAAGAGAGAGAAAUUGGGCGAGUUCCAGGGAGAGUAUCAGACGAUUUCAAUGUGAUUUGGAUUAAUCUACCAGAAUCUAUCAAGUUUAUAGGUUUCUUGAUUGUGUACGAAAUCGAGACAUAGAAGAAGAAAAAGUAAACAUACCAUACAUCAAUUUGAAGAAACGUCAAAUGCGUCUGUGGUGAUGUUUCCUGAUCGGUUCAUUUUGUAAUCUUCAUAGCGAUAAGAACAAAUCCGUAAACAACAAAGAAGGAAGAGGCCAAGAUGAAAAAAAAAAGAAGGAUAAGUACUCUAUCUGUAUUUAGAAAUUCCCAGUGGCUAAUUUAUAUUAGCAUUACUACAUCGAAGAUGAUAUAUUUCUGUUCACUAAAACAGAGUAUAUGGUGUGCAUGUCAUAUAAUUCAGUUAAUAGAGCUCUUAGACACAUUGAAGCUCUUAUACUCAAACGUAGCAGACUCGAGUAGUGAAACAAAAUGGGCGACGAAACGGAGCAUACUCGUUGUAAUCUUCAUAGUGAAAAGAACAGAUCCGUAAAUAGCAAAGAAGGAAGAGGCCCACAUAAAGAAAGAUAAGUACUCUAUUAUUCAUAUUCCUUUUGCACGUAACCAAAAUAUUUUCACCCUACAAAAUAAGCACAACAUAAUGUAAGUUAGUUAUAUAAAGGAACACAGAAGAAAUGAUUGUUUGCAUUUUGAAACUUACAUGUUCAUCGUUUAGAACCAUUUGAAGAGUCUCUCUACCGAAUAAAGUGUUUUGUUGCUAGGAAUACAGCAAUUUCUCUUUAGAUGGCCAGUUAGUCUUAGCUUCAAGUUUUUGACAGGGGUGAGACUUGCAUUGGUCAUCAUUUUUUUUGCUUUGGUUUUCUGCAAAAUGUGAAUGUUGUUCUUUUACGUAUAAUGAAGUGUAUAUAUAGAUAAAUAGGUGAGAUAUUAAUGAGAAUAAAAUCUUAAUUAGUAAUUAUAAAACUUGAUGAGCAAGUCGUGUGUAGAUAAGGAAUAUGCUUAAUGCAUCGAAUAUUUUCCUAAGAUUUUUCUGUUUAAUUUUUUGAUUAUGUAGCUACCGUGGAUUUGGUGCAAAAUUAUGGGGCUUAUUAUAUGGGGCUUAUUAUAGAUCAGUGAGAGCUUAAAUGUAGGGGAUUAUUAUGUAAAGUAAUUAAGAAAUUGAAAGAUAUAUGGAAUAGUUUAGUUAAGAUUUAAUAAGUUCUAAAUUGAUAUUAUCUGAUUGAUUGUUUUAAUGAUAGGUGCAAAAUUUAUUGCGAGAAAUCUUAAUAAAUCUUGACCUUCUGUUUGAAAUAUAAGAUUUCUAUAUAAAUAUAGAGUAAUAUUUAAAAAUCUAAGAAUUAAAUAAAUAAGCAAAUCUAUAAAUCCGUGAUUAGCAAGUAUUCUGAGUUUUAUUACAAAUGUGAGAUCUUAAAUGUAGGAAAUUAUUAUGUUAAAUAAAUAAGAUAUUAAAAUAUUUAAGAAAUAGUUAAUACAAUAUUUUAACAGGAUUUAAUUGAUAUUAUCCGAUUUAUUAUGCAAAAUUUAUUGCGUAAAAUCUUAAUAAAUCUCAACUUUAGGUUUCAAAUUUAAAGUUUGUAUAUAAAUAUAGUUAAAUAUUUAAUAUUAUAAGAAUUAAAUAAAUAGGCAAACUGAAUGGUUUUGAAUUUAAAGUGAAUUUGGCAAUAAAUUAAACAAACCAACUGGUUUUUCCUCGGGAUAUUUAAUGUAAUACAUAAUAUCCUGUUUAGAAAGAUUUAUAAAGUUACUAAAUUAUUGACAUAUAUCUUGUUUCAAUUUCGUUUUAUAGGUUUUCAUGUUUAUAAUAAGUUUGUGGUUAUGUGAACUAUGAGUAUGAGUGUAAUUUUAUGGUUAGAUAUGGUUAGAUAAAACAAUGAAAAUAACAUGUUUAUGUUUUUAUAAACAGGUCGAAGAACAAAGAAGCAAGCAAUUUCGACAAAAUAUUCCAUCUUGUAUCAUAAGAUUGUUAAGGACCAUACAAUAUGUAUUUUUAUCAUACUAUAUAUAGAUAGUUAGACAUAGGUAGGCUGAAAGGAGAACUGUUCUGUUUUAUGAUAGUGAAACUUGGGCUCUGCUAAUAUAAAAGAAAAAGAAAGACCCACUAAAAUGUUGUAGAAAACGAAUGGUCUCUCUUAAUAAGGCUUUGCGUGAAA